GGUUCGCGAUCCUCCUCUCUGGCUCCGGGCUGCGCGCAGAGUCUGGGUGGCGAGCGAAUGGUGCCUGCGAUCUUCUGCCUCGGGGACCCGGCUGUCUUCCUUGUGCUAAAAAAACGGAGGAAGUCUGUCUGCCACAGGGCAGAGGGUGGUAUACAAAGGGUCUCCUCUCCUUGAGUGACUGGUUCCUCCAUUGGAUCUCAGCUCGUAGCUCCUGACCUCAAGCAAGUGCUACUGAAGUAGAAAUGUCUUAUAUCCUGUUUUGUGAUUCCCUGCUUCAGAGCU
ensembl:antisense Tbx3os1 T-box 3, opposite strand 1